ACAUAAACAAAGAAGAGAAGAAGUACAAAAGUAAUUUCUCUAAAGAGAGAUAACGGAAGGUGUAAGUUAUUGUGAAAUCUUUUGGAACGUGUCUUGGAGUUAUUUGGUCGAAGAUUUGAGGCUAAAUCGUGAAUUCGCGUUAAGAAUGAGGUGUCAUCUGUAUAGGCAGAUGGAAUUUUGGUGGUACCGCGUAUAUUACGUCCAAUGU
rnacentral:ncRNA from 1 species